AAAUUUUGCUAGGAAGUUUUGUUUUAAAAGAAAAUCUGUAAGUAUUUUAUAGAAGAAGCUUUUGCUAGAAAUGCUCUAUUGCUUAUAUUUCCCUUCAACUCUGGAACUGAGGGUUCUUGCUACACACCUUUAUUCCUAUCUGAUAGCACGACUCCCUACCAUCUCCCAUCAAAACGUUUCAACAAAUUUGCUGCAGAUGCCACUGCUCUGAGCCCAGACAUCCUAGAAAUGGUACUGCCUAGACGCUGUGCUAGAUGGCUCUUCCUUCAGAAGUUAAGCAGCAUUACUUCUAGAAGCACAGAUUACUUCCUUCGUGUGGGAUAUAAAAAAG